UAGCCCCACUUCUCUCUCUCUCUCCCACCUUUUUCUCUCUGUACCAGCUUUUCUCUGCCUCUGCUAGUCCGGGAAAAUUAGAAGAAAAAUAAAAAAGCUAGUUCUCUCCUAAUUCUGGUCAUUAGAUUGGAUCUGGGCUACUUCUUUAUUGCGAUAUCUCCUCCAAUAGCAGUGUGCUGUAAUUCUCAACCUGGGAAGCAGGAGUAGGGGGAAGAAAAACAGGACACAUGGCACUCUUGUUUCUGUAAUCAAGCCAAAGUGUUGGAAAUACAAAUAACUGAAGUGCAGAUACAAUAUGGCUGUUUCCAUGAGAGAUCUGGAUCCAGCUUUCCAAGGAGCUGGACAGAAGGCGGGACUUGAAAUAUGGCGGAUUGAAAACUUUCGUCCUGUUCCUGUCCCAAAGUCUUCUUAUGGCAAAUUUUUCACGGGCGACUCCUAUGUUGUUUUGAAGACAACUUCCCUAAAAAGUGGUGCUUUACGCCAUGAUAUUCAUUAUUGGCUGGGUAAAGAUACCUCGCAGGAUGAAGCAGGUGCUGCUGCCAUCAAAACAGUUGAACUUGAUGCA
rnacentral:misc_RNA from 1 species